AAGUGAAUCAUGACUUCAUCCUGAGAUUCACCGAAAGAAGAUCUUCAUGUCUAUGCAAGUUUGAGCUGCAAUGUUCGAGCCUCCUUCCCAAUGUGAAUCAAUGAGCUCUGGUGAGGAAGGGCUUUAGAGAGCUCACCGCCCUGAUUUUUGAGAGGUCGUAUGUAUUUUAUUUCCUUCUCCUCCUGUAAAUCGCUUGGUGCUCGACAUAGGAUUCACUAAUUAGACAUUUACACAUAACCACUUUAAAAUUAAAAUGGUUCACCAUCGAGGCUAUGCCAACAAUACCAGCCACAGGUAGAAGAGAAAAUCAUCUGAGUUCUUUGUCUAAGUUUGUUUCUAAAAAUAGUGUUCAGUAAAUGUUUUCAAUGUUCUUACAUUUGUUUUAAAUUAAAAAACUUAAAUUGCAA